rnacentral:lncRNA from 1 species
GAUUAAGGCUUAGUUGAGUUGAGAGAAGUAAUCAUGGGAAAAAGCAGUUACAAUUUGUUCUUAAUAACAAACCAUAAAAAAUAAGAUGCGCUAGGAAUCAUUAAUUUUUCCAUAGGCAAAUUAGCUCUUGUAUCAUAGCCUUCACUACCUUCUACCAACUAUAUUGAGAUUUCCACAACCAAUGUGAAUUUAAAUCAUUAAGCACAAAAUAAAUUAAGAAAUCAUGAAGUUAUUAUAUAUAUGUACAUUGUUCUGCUCCAUUUUUCUGGACCUAUCGGAGAAAAGGUCAAGUCACACCA